GAAAAACUAUGGUCACAUUGAUUUUUUUCAUUAAUAGAGUAAACCAGUUUAUGUAACCGUCGUGACUUGCAAUUAAUUGCAAGAUAUCAGCUUUGACCAGAUAUUUUCCACUACUUAUGAAAUGUAAGCCGUUGCACUAUCUAGUGUAUUAUUAGAUCUGUGCUUUGGGGCCACAAGGGUAAUCUGAUUACAGAAACAUCUAAACCACCUUUCCGACGGUAGACACACGUGUCAAAAAUACGAGAUUAAAUUACGAAAUUCGGACAAACAAAUGGUCGGACGUAUUAGAAACUGUCAAACUAUGCACAUAGCUAAGCAAGCAAUGUGAGUCCGUCCUCACAGGCAAUCUAUGUAAGGUGUAUAUAAGAUGAGAAAUUCGCAUGCAGCGAUUUUGGUGUGACGACAAAGCGAAACUGUUGGCAUGGAAACUGAGAUUGUUGUGUACAAAUUGCCGACAACGCUUGUGCAUCAGAAUCGUUACCACUUCUCGACACUCGUCUUUCAAACCGAGAAAGCAAAUAAUUUGUUCUUCAAUCAAAGUGGGACUGCUUUUGUUUCUCAAGUACAUUUGAUUGAAGAUUCGAACCGCGUUUCUAAAGUAAAGUCUCAUCACAAUUUAGAAAGAAAAAAAUUCUGUCCAAUGAAACAGUUUGUUCGGUGAGUACAACAAAGUCAACGGAAAUCGGUGACAAUUUUAUUUUUGGAUCCGAAAGUUACUGGCAAAAUGUAUUCGUCGCGUUCCAGCAUACGAAAGCCUUGGGGAACGAUAACACACCCGAAGGAGCGACAUCCCGAUAAAUUACUCGGCUAUCAAAAACUCAACAGAGAGCAGGUACGAGAUGUUGUAAAUCGUCUCUACCAGGAAAACUGGCACGAAAAACGAGAAAGAAAGCGUUUGAAAUCAAAGCAGGAAUAUAUUGCACGAGAGCGCAGACACGAAGUUAAAAGAAGCGCUGCUGAAGUGGAAGACAUCGUUCAAAGGUUGACGAGGAACUCCGAAAGAAAUGUCACGGAUAGCAAUAGGACCGGGGCAAUGAAAGAAUGUGGUAUUUUCAAUACGUUUGCUUGCAAAGGAUGGAAUUGAUUGAAUCAACAUUUCGAUUUAAUGCAGUUGUUUAUUUUUUUGUGGUAUCACGGGCUAGGCUGAGGAACGAUAUGCUUAGAACUGUAAAAUAAGCAUACUUUUUCAUCUUUAUCUUUUUUUUAUUUAAUUGUCUGUGAGAAAAAUAUGCCGGCAUUUCUUAUUUCUCUCGUCGCUCGUGAAGUUAUCUCGCCACAGAGGUACGAUACGAAUUCAAAUACCAUGGUGUAAAUAAACUGUGGCACAGGCGAGAGGAAAAACGGUGCUUCCCUGUUUCCGUCAAUCGGCUGAAGAGUCGAGACCGCCAUCCUGGAAAGAUGGAAUCCGUGUAGAAAGUAGUGGUGUAAUUAAUUAGCUUCUUAUUGCCAAAUUAUACAAAAUAUCACCCAAUAAACAUGGCAAAUUGCUUUUGGAAAGACUCUAGAGAAUAAGUUUGUAUUAGGCACCUCCCUCUAAUACACACCCUAUUUCUAAUAGACGCCCCCUAUUACUGUUAUAAUAAUAUCAUUAUAUAUUUGGUUGUUGAUUGUUUGAACUAAGGUAAUAAAAAUGUUAUAAGAUCA